AAAAACUAAUGAUGUAAUGUAUGGUGAUUAACAUACCAAUAAAAAAAUUUAAAAAAAAGAAGCUGAUUCUUCAGGUUUUUCUCUGUAUUUUGUGAAGCAUUCGCAUGCGUCAGAGCCGACGGGAAGGCUUGCUAAAGGACAAAGUUUCUGAGAAUCUGCAUUCCCAACAUGCUCCCAGGUGCUGCUGAAGUGCUGGCCUGGGACCACCAUACUUUGAGAGUGACUGCCCUGGAGCAAAGAUUCUGUGAUUGAAUGGGAAAAAGGCAAAGUCACUUCAAUAAUGUUCAAGGCAUUUCCCUCGUUCCAAAUGUGACCCGCUGGAUUCGGGGCACCAAAGACUCCUCCUCUCCGAGAUUCUGAUGGAAAAGCAUAUACACAAAGAACUAAACCAAAUAGGGCAGAAUACCGGAUUUCUACCAGAAGUCUAGGACUCCCGAGUCAAGAGAACUGGAGACUGUAGCAGGGACCAGAAUCCAAAGUUAGAAGCCUUCCUUCUUCUCCCUGAAUGGAAGAGAGCUAGUUGCAUCUAAUGGGGCCACCUGACCACCAAAGAGUUACAGUCCGAGAUGACUCAGCUGGACCUGCCAGAAAGAGAACUUCUUUGGUGUGCAUAUAGGAUGGAACAAGGAACCAAAAGUGAGGGUCAUGUCUGGUCACAGCAGGUUAAGAGGAAGAGAAUACCAUCUGUUUCCUGUUCUUGAAAAAUAAAAAUAUUCAGCAAGUGCCUCAGGGAUGCGGGGAAUUUGGUGCACAGCCGUGAACAAGGAAGUUUGCCGCCGCCCACUACUGUGGCACCGUGUGUCAGCCGACUGAGACCCAAGUAACUAAAAUACCAGAUAUUAAAUUAAUUCUUUGUUCCAGGCAUACCCAGCAUGAAAGAGGUCCUGGUUAGCGUCUGCCAAAGAGAGGCACUCCCUCGAGAUUCGGAACGUGGAUGAGAAGGAGCACCAUUGUCCGGAAGCCUUUGCAAACACACAGCGGUUGUGCUUCGAGGCUGACGACAUGAGAACCGCCUGGCUCAACGCCCCAGUUCGCUCCCCAGACGCUUGCAUCCCCAGCCCUCCCGGGCUUGGGCAAGCCUCUCAUUUCCUAGGUGGACUUCAGUUUUCCUAAUCAAAUACUCUGUAUAAGUGAUGGGAGCUGCAAUAUUUCUGGAAACAAUGGAAGCAAGAUGAAGGAGGAUCCAGAGGUGGAAAAGAGCAUGGUCCAGCAAUUCUGGGGCGUACAGGAUGAGGCUCAGACUGGCGUCCUGUGCAGGUGUUUCCAUCACAAGAGGUUUGUGCCAAAUAUCUAUGAAAAUUCUCAUCUGACAGGCUUAAAAGAUUCUGAGAUAGCCAUCCCACCAACCUGACUUUUUGCCCUGAAUUUACAGCAUGUCUUCAUCGAUUUGGGAAUGUGUUAAGACACACUCAAAAUAUUAUUUGGGCAGUGCCUUAUAUCACACCUCUCCUCUAGCUCUAAAGAAAAAUACUUGCAGCUUUUCAAAUUUCAAAUUGAUUCAUCUUUGAUAUCAUUAAACAGGUCUUGUCUUUUAUGGA